GACGAACGCUGGCGGCGUGCUUAACACAUGCAAGUCGAACGGUGAAGCGCCUUCCUUUUUGGUGGGUGUGGAUGAGUGGCGAACGGGUGAGUAACACGUGAGUAACCUGCCCCCUUCUUCUGGAUAACCGCAUGAAAGUGUGGCUAAUACGGGAUAUUCUGGGUCUGUCGCAUGAUGGGUCUGGGAAAGAUAUUGUUUCGGUGGGGGAUGGGCUCGCGGCCUAUCAGCUUGUUGGUGGGGUGAUGGCCUACCAAGGCGGUGACGGGUAGCCGGCCUGAGAGGGUGGACGGCCACACUGGGACGGAGACACGGACCAGACUCCUACGGGAGGCAGCAGUGGGGAAUAGUGCACAAUGGGCGCAAGCCUGAUGCAGCGACGCCGCGGGAGGGAUGGAGGCCUUCGGGUUGUGAACCUCUUUCGCCAGUGAAGCAGGCCUGCCUCGUUUGUGGGUGGGUUGACGGUAGCUGGAGAAGAAGCGCCGGCUAACUACGUG
rnacentral:rRNA from 1 species